ensembl:lncRNA
AUGGAACUACAGCCAGUCUGUUCCCUUCAGUAUAUAUAUCGUUUUUUUAUUUUUUAUUUGUAUUCCCGGUGACAGUUUUAAGGAGGUAAUCUUUACCCUCUGGCAGAUUGCAUUUUAUAUAGCUUCCCCUACGCUGUCACCACGUAAUUAUUCUUCAGUCUGUGUUGUGCAGAUAAUAGAGAGCAGAUCAGAGACUAGCAGAAACACACAGACAGACUGACAGAGAUAAGAGGUAGAGAGAGGGAGAGGCCCUCAGGGCAGGUGGCUGUUGGGGGUUCAAGAUCUGACUUGAGAUGGCAUCAUCAAAAGAAAAACAAACAACCAUAAUUUUAUUUCACCAUUAAGCAUACAGUUGAGUAAAGGGAAAAACGACAGGAAGAUGAAACGCAUGCAUCAUUAAUAGUUGAUUCAUUCAAAGCAGAGUUAGAUGAGGGUGUGGGGGAAGGAGGCAGGGCCUGAUGGGUCAGACCACCAGUUCAAGACAAGCUGGAUAUCUGUGAGGAGUGUGUGACGUGUCCCUGUCUAGAUGCUUCUCUCACGGCCUUUUUAUAUUGUUAUAAAUCAUACAUUAUAUGCAAUGGAAGUGAUAGAAUAUAUGUAUGUCAUGCUGUUAAAUGUCCCACCCUCUUUCCUGCUGUUCAUCAAGAGUUAAAAAAAAAAGCCUUACACAUCCACUUUCCAAAUCAAUUAUACAUAUUUUUUUGAAAUAGUACACAGGCUGUCAGACCAAUCAACUGUGGACUAGUACAGACCGGCGCAGGACAGCACACAGGUACUGCUCGCCAAGUGGUUGUCUUGUACUCCGCAUGUGUCCUUGUUACCGCGAAGGGAAUUCUUCCUCCUAUCUAACUUUGUUUAUCUUUGCAUGCAGAUGAUGCAACCUCCUCUGAUAGCAAUACAGAGUACAGAUCAGAUGAAAAAGCCCCCUUCCAUGUAUUCUGAAUGAACCAAGGAGUGGUUUAUUCCCUCAAAUCUAGAGACGGGCACACAUUGAAGGACAAAGCUUGCACUGGCCAAAUGAAGUAAAAGUCAUUUUAGUAAUGUCAUCAACACCUAAAUGCCAUUGAGGAUUAUUAUCAAGAUGGAUUGAAUUUAUCAUGAUGAGAAUAGAAAAGAAAUAUGAUGAGCAAACUUUGCAUAUCUCUAGGACUGUAUAUCUAAACCACAACACACCUGGCUUUGCUAUUGGGACCCAAGGGCUCACUGAGUAGAAUUUGGUGCAAUAUGGACAUGCAGCACAUUCAGUGUUAUUGAACUUAAUAAAUAAGCAAACACCGCUCUGAGCAGUACCAGAGACUGAGCCGCAGGCAUCCUUGGAGUCUGGAAUGUGGUCUGCAGCAGGACUCCACAGGCUUACUCAAUGCAGUUCACUUCUCCUGGAUCUACUGGCACAUAGAAAACAUUUCUUACAGCAGGGCCAUUGACGAGUGCAAUGGGAGUGGGUCGAAGGGAGGUCUCCACCAUAGAGAUGGACAAAAUAAUCUGUGCCACAAUAGGUAGGUUUUUAAAGUCAGGCACUGACAGGCACAUCUGUGUGAAGACAUACCAUGUUCCAAAAACCUCACGUACAAAGGCAUCCAGAACAAGGAAGUUAUGUCGUGCCUGGUUACACUGAACUUCCAAUAAAUGGACACAAGUUAAAUAUCAACAUGUGCAUAAAGAAAGUCAUUCUUGAGUUGAUAUGUUCAUAUCAAUAUAAUAGUAGAGUGAAAUAUAAUCAAUAAGUACAUUUUCAAUACAACAAUACAAUUGCAUAAAAAAAAGGAAAAUGUCAACUAUAUGGGCAAAGGAAAGACGCCUAGAAUACAUACAAUGUGCUAUAAUAUGGAUAAAUUAUUUUAAAAAGAGAUGACCAGAAUCAAUAAUAAUGUAUGUGUACGAAGUGUGUGUGUGUGUGUGUGUGUGUGUUUUUGAAUGUGUCUCCAACGUUUUCGGGGGAUACUUUAACAAUCGGAUGAAUGAGGUGUUUCCAAAUAUAUAUUUCGAGGGAUGACCCACUGGAGUUAUAUUCUGUCGUUGUGUAUAUGAUGGAUUCGGUUAGAUCCUCCAUUCAAACGUCAACUGAUAUCAUAUUUUUACAAUGGGUUAGACCUAACCCUGUGUGUGCCAUUCCCUUUUAUCCAGUUCACGAGGAUGACUUUUUUGCAUUCUUUGACGUUCAAGGAUAAUCGGCUGUUUGUUUUGUUCUGAUUAAUUGUUGACGUGUCUCAUAGUAAGUUUUACCGAAUGUAGUGAAUCCUUUCGGGUAUCCAAUACUUUAUGAGUUGUAGAUUGGCAUUUUUAACACACAUUUGAGCUAUGAGAGUAACAUGGAUUUUACUCUCCUGCCUUCCAGAGGAUGUAACGUUUUUUCUAGAAUGUCAGCUCUAAGGAAAUUAUAUAUCAUUAUCUCAUAAGUAGAUUGCCAGGAAAUGUUCUGAGCACAUUCAUGCACGAAAGGUGAUGAAAACUUUAGAUUUUAAUUCCACCCUGACCUUUAUUGUGUGCCACCCUCAGCAUAAACUUAAAAUUUUACCUGUACUACCGACAAACGCCUUAAAACUGAUAAUUACAUUUCUUCCUCCUUUUCAAUACAUAGUACGCUAGUGAAAAUUGCGUACCUAUUAGCUCGAGCCCAUACCAAUAAACAAACUGCUCCUUACUUUGUGCAUUUGCUUGGAAUGCUUAAAAGUGGGUAGGUAAUACGCAGCAGCAGAAACCUUUUCGCUCAAUUCUCACUUAAAGGUGCAGAUUUAUGAAAGAUAGAUGACAUGUUUACGAAUACAAGUCAUAUUUGUUUUGUUUUUUUGGCACAAUUCUAAAUCACAUUUGGGUAAACAGUGGCAUCACCAAAACUAAUAAUUUUUCACAAUCGUUGAAAUUAAAUUUUUAACUAAAGAACCAAAAAUGACAC